CCUAAACAACAACACAAUUCUCAAAUAAAGAAAGCAUCGAGUAACAUUAACAUUGGCGGACCAUUUUGGUUUCAAUCUGUGUUGGUCACAUUAGUACCUCAAACAAAAAUGAAUAUCAAAAGCAAACACUAAUUUCAACUGGACUAAAGUAGUUCUCCACACAUGUGAGUCAAUUAAUCUUCUAAUACCACAACCCCAACAAGUCCAUAUAUAUUCAAAACUAUAUCUCAAUAAGCACACACCCUAAGCUACCGGAUUGGAACAAAUGUCCAACUGUACACAUCAAGUUCAAUCUAGCGACAUUGCAUUUAAUAACACAAAAGGAAAAUAAUUAUACAUGAGGGAAAACUAACUUAAAUAUACAUUUGGAUGAACCCAAACUACAGAGAAAUGAAACUGAUUAAAUGUGCAAGCCUACAGCUUCCAAUUCAAAACAAACACAACAUGUCGUUCAUUUCACCAUGCCAAAUGAGGUUCUUGACAUACCUGGUUACAGCAAGUAUACAAAGAAAAUUCUGAGGUUAAGAAAGAGCAGCAACAGUAAACCAACAAAAAUGGAACCUAAGCAGCAAUAAUUUCAACCUAGACCAAGCAGUAAAGAAUAGCUUUCAUAUCAUUUCUUGGUUCCCAAAAUGCAUAUAAGAACUUUGAAAAUUCUAAGUCCAGAAUUUCAAAACCCAAAACCAAGUCUAAAAUCAAUAAGAAAAUUUAGAAAAUUCAGUGUUCUUUAGCCGUUUGCUUUUUUCAGAAUUGUUUUCCAUAAAGUCCCUCUUGAACCUCAAGUAAGGAUGCCUUUAUAGGCAUGGUUUUAGGAUUGCAGAAAUAAGCUCAUUUUUGCACUUAAGACCUUUUACAAUUUCGGUUUUUGCUCAAAUAUCCUCACUUUUAAAACCAGAUUUUCAGUCUAGUCCAACUCCUCAUCUUCUAGGAAGCUUCCUAUUCAGUUAAAUAUGAUUCUUUUACCUAGUCUUCCUAAAUUACCCUUCAAUAUCCUGUUAAUCACCUCAAGGACCCAAAACUUUAAACAAAUGGCCCAAAGGUCUUGGGCUACUGCAUUAGCAGGUCCUAUGGCCAAUGGGCUCCUGACUCUUGGUGACCAAAUCGUGAUCCAAAAGAGCAUAGGUCGUGACAAAUUAAUCCUAGAAAUUUGCCAUUCCGGCGUCAUAAGAAAUAUUAAUGGAACGCAUCAAGAGAAGUAGGCAACAUGAAAUAAAAAAUACUGAAGAAGGAAAGUGCUAACUAAAAUAUUGAUAAUUACUAAUGUGUCUUAAAUCUUAAACAUGCAACAUAUUGAUUCAAACUAACAAAAGCAGAAAAACAAAAAAAACAAAGAGCAAACAUAAAAUAUGAAAAUUAAAAUUCAUACAGGGGCGGACAGAAAAGAUAUGAGAUAGAAAGGGGAGAGAGACAGAAGUAGAGGAGCACGAUAAAGCAGAACAAAAAAUAAUAAAUGGCAAAGAAAUAACUAAAAUAUCCAAAUGGGAGAAGGGUUUGAACGGCUUCUAGUGUUCUGCGAUUCAAAGCGAAAAGGAGUGUUAGUCGGUUUGUUCUUGGGAGAACGAACGUCUAGCACUCAUUUUGACCCAAAAUCAACUGCGAGAGUUAAGAGAAUAAACGAGAAAAGCCCUUUAAAUGAGGAAUCGAAGGCGGGCAUAAGUCUAGGGUUCCACCUUUGAGAUCUGAAACUAAAUAGAAGUGGAAAGAAUUUAGGGGAAAUUUGUAAUGGUUUAAUGUUUCAUGGAACAUGGGGAUUGUGUGGUUGAAAUUUGGUGGAGGUUUAAAGCAGCCUCACUGGUGAAAAUGGUGGACCUCCUAGAGGCAGCGCUAGGUUGGAAAUUUCGGACAAUCUUAUGUAAUUGGGGUAAGGAAGUUGAGCCAUUGGAUGCAAGUGAACGAAUGGCUGAGAUGAAAUUGGACUGAACGAACUCAAAAUUACGUCGUUUGAUUAGGCUAAGUCAUGGGACUAUGUUGGGGGCAAAAUCAGGCCAAGAAAUUGGAGGGGUUUGGACGAG
rnacentral:lncRNA from 1 species